AAGUUCUGCGCUGCCCCGCGUACCCGCAGUGCGACGGGAGCUCGCCGCUCCGCACCGUGCCCUGCCUUUACCUGCCCCCGGGGCCCGCGCCAGAGGGAACCUCCCUCCUCCCGUGCUUCUGCAGCUUUAGCGGCUUUUUCCUUUUUGGAAGCGGGAGUGGGAAAAAAACACACGCAAAGCCCAAGCAGCCCCCCACCCCCGCACAGAAAUGCCAGCCACCCGGGCGAGACCGAAAUGCGGCGGCUCUCGCCCCGAGCCCAGCCCCGAGCCCGCAGCGGCGGCGGCUGCAGCCGGGCGGCCCGGCGCGGCUCCGCGCAGCCCUCCCCAGGCCCCGAGCAGCCUUUUAAGUUUCCCCUUUGUUUUCAGAAACUCGCACACGUUUCCUGCCCCACGCGAAGACCCAACGAGCUAACCCAAACCUCUCCCAGCCAUACGUGCGCGCUGGGCGUGCUCCCGGGCGCAGCGAGCCACAGACUACCUCUCUCUCUCGUUGAAAAUCUUUGCGGCAACUUAUUUUCCCUAGAAAGCUAUUGCCUACGACUCAUCUCCAACACACAGUGAGCGGCGGGCGCUGCCGGACACACUGCGACCUAAAGGGGGGAAAGCUCUGGCGAAAGGCGGUGUCGCGACCCGGGAUGCACCUUUCGGGCUCCUGGUUCGUGGCUCGCUCCAUUCCUCCGCAGCACAGCGCUGCAGACCGCAGCCGAGUCGCUUUUCUCCCUCCCGGACCGUGCAGCAAAAUAAUCGGCGGAGCCGGGAGCGACCCCGUGUCCAAAGGCUCCCCGGUUUCCCAACCGCUCCGAGACCACAUUCACCUCCAGUAGGAAACGACAGCUGAAAAACGCCGUUAUCUCGGGGAAAGAGGCAUUUCCCAGGGGCUUCCCCCCCCGGUGCGGGAGAGCCUGCAAAGCGAGCCAGCAGAGGCCGUUUGGGGGAGGCUUUCAGGACGAUGGCAAUUAUCAAUAACCGCUCGCUGUCCCGGCUGCCCCUCGGAAAAUUUUUGCUCUUUGAGAUUGUCUAAAUCAGCUGUAAAUCUGGCAAAGCAGUCAAUGAAAUAGCCAUCCCCAAGCAUGCGUUUCAAGUUUCUGUUGCUUAGCCGACGACCUAUAGUAAGCGCCAUCGACUAUUUCGGGGUAAUUAGCUAUAUCAGGCUGACAUUUAAGAAAAUGAGGGAGAUAUUAAGCUCCUAAUUCCCGUCAUUACAAAUAAUUUUCGUGGAGGGAACUUCUAAAAGAUUUUUUUCUCCCUUACGCUUUCCAGUCUAUUUUUUAACCCCUGAGUGAUUUACUAUGUAAGUAAUUUUAGAGGAUACAGUUUACAGCUUGAGUUAUUAGACCGAACACCUCUGGCUGACACCACAACACCUUUUUUUUCUGCCUGCAGCUGUGAGUCACAACCCCAUUUUCAUACCAAACUGCUGCACAUUCCUUUACAAUAUAGACUUCCUUCUUGCAAAGAUCAAACAUGUUUCAGCCAACGUGUUUAUUUUAAGAUACAGGAAAAUUAAAACUAAACACGCACUUUAAAGAAAAACAAAUGCAUCGUUGCCUUCCCUGCUAUCUCUUCCACUAAAAUAAAAUCAAAUCAGGACGGAGCA
rnacentral:lncRNA from 1 species